rnacentral:tRNA from 1 species
GGCCCAUUGGUCAAGUGGUUAAGACACCGCCCUUUCACGGCGGUAACGGGGGUUCGAAUCCCCCAUGGGUCACCA